rnacentral:ncRNA from 1 species
ACAGAAGAAGCAGAUAAGCCCGCAUUGCGUCCAAUUUGUGAUGAUGCAGGCAGCCAAAGCAUAACCAAUGCAGCACAAUGCUACUAAAGUCACAAUAUUUUUAUUUUUAUUAUUACUAUCGUUACGAUUAGUAUUAUCUGUGUUGCUAGCAUUACCACUAUCAUUAUUAUUAUAAGUGUUAGUAUGACGGGCUCAAUUGUUGUUACAAUAUUGCCGCUACUAUCGUUCUGUCCCCUACCAAAGCUAAUGACGAAAAGUGAUGAAAUGCCCAUAAAGGAAAAUUCAGGUGGCCAGAUGAGUCGCCAUCGAAUUAGCGAUCUGCAUGAAUGGAUUAACGAGAUUCCCACUGUCCCUAUCUACUAUCUUGCGAAACCACAGCUAAGGGAAUGGGCUUGGCGGAAUCAGCGGGGAAAGAAGACCCUGUUGAGCGUGACUCUAGUCUGACUGUGUGGAACGACUUGGGGGGUGUAGCAUAGGUGGGAGCCUCGGCGAUCGUGAAAUACCACUACCCUCAGUGUCGUUUUACUUAUUCCGUCAAGUUGAGACGCAUGCAAUGCAU